rnacentral:tRNA from 1 species
GCCGAGGUGGUGAAAUUGGUAGACACGCUAGCCUUAGGAGCUAGUGCCUUCAUCGGUGUGUGGGUUCGAGUCCCACCCUCGGCA